UGACUUCUCUCAUUAGCAUCAGAUGCCUAGCCUAGCGACAAUGUCAGGACAGGGUGCGGCGAACUCUGUCAGAUGCCCAACAUAGAAACAAACACACACACAAUUCUGUGUGAUGACUCUGCAGACACGUUCUCCUUCUGAAGACAUCCACCACACUCCUUCCAAAGCAGCACAUGGCUUAUAGUAAGGAAGCUGAAAUACUUCGCAGGGCAUGGGGUGGGCAUGUGUUUUGUAGUGCUGGUUCGAAUAAGAGCAGGGGAGUCAUCACACUGAUAAAUCUUGAGGUAAAGUUUCAAGCAGCUGGGAUCCUUCAUGAUAUGGAUUUGGGUGGAGACUUCAAUCUUUUAAUGGAUCCGGUCCUAGAUCAUAGUGACGCAAAGUGAGCACGGGGAGAGAGGCAUGAAAGAGCCACACUGCCAGCAGACCAGGGAGAGAGAGCCUGGGUCCAGAUGAUUGUUGAGAAUCUGAAGAGAUUAUUGUGAACUAAGUAUUUAUUAUUGUGAAGCUAAAAAUUUAUUAUUGUGAAACUGAAGAGAAUAGUGUGUGAAGCUGUGAGCGCUGAAGUGCGGUCAUUAAAAGCCUUACCUAUGAGAGGAGCAACCUGCCUCCCUUGUCCUCCUUAUCGACUGCCCUUACAUUAAAUUAUCUACUACUGUCUCUCCUUCUAGUAGUUCCUCUUUCUUAUUUUAAACAAUUUGAUGGAAUACCUAAGUCUUUUAUUUAGAAUGGUAAAUUACCUCGGUUGCAUUUCAGUAAGUUGCAUAGACCAACUGACAAAGGAGAUUUAGGUUUUCCCCAAAAAGUUUUUAUUACAAUGCUUUUAAUUUUAGACACCUGGCCCAUUGGUCUCUUCCACCAGAGAGAGCCCCUCCCUGAUACUACACUGAACAAGCGAUUCUUGCUCCAAUUUCACAAUUGCAAAGUCUUUCUAUCAAACUGCCUAGAGAAAUAAAAAUGCAUCCCAUUAUUUCACACUUACAUUUAGUAUGGACAAAGGUUUCCUUUAUGUUUACUUUUGAUACUUACCUAAAUGUUUUUUUCAUAUGGCUAAAUCCCAAAUUGUGUAUUAACAAGUCCCCUUUUUGCUGGAAAGAAUGGAUGGAGAGGGGUGUUGCUACACUUGGUGACCUUUAUGAAAACUGAGCUUUGAGAUCAUUUGAAAAUAUAACACAGCAAUUUGGGAUUUCUAGGUCUCAAUUUUACAGGUAUUUACAGUUGCGCCAUCUACUUUGUACUAUUUUUAGUAGUAGUAUACAGCUCCCUAAAGCUGCAGACACCCUCUGUAUGGUGCUCACGGCCUAUGGAAAAGGGCAUGAAGCGUCAGUUAUUCCUUGUUGAUUCAGAGUCUUGGUGAUGGUACCUUAAUAGCUCUUAAGAGGAUAUGGGAAAGAGAUUUUUGUUUGUUGAUUUUUAUAUUUUUGAUUUUCUUAAAACAAUAUUUUGUUUGUUCGUUUAUAUGUGUACAU